rnacentral:rRNA from 1 species
UACGUAGGGUGCUAGCGUUGUCCGGAAUCAUUGGGCGUAAAGCGCGUGUAGGCGGUUCGGUAAGUCCGCUGUGAAAGUCGGGGGCUCAACCCUCGGAUGCCGGUGGAUACUGUCGGGCUUGAGUACGGAAGAGGCGAGUGGAAUUCCUGGUGUAGCGGUGAAAUGCGCAGAUAUCAGGAGGAACACCAAUUGCGAAGGCAGCUCGCUGGGACGUUACUGACGCUGAGACGCGAAAGCGUGGGGAGCAAACAGG